rnacentral:rRNA from 1 species
UACGUAGGUGGCAAGCGUUGUCCGGAUUUACUGGGUGUAAAGGGGGCGCAGGCGGGAAGCUAAGUUGGAUGUGAAAUACCGGGGCUCAACUCCGGAGCUGCAUCCAAAACUGGUUUUCUUGAGUGGAGUAGAGGCAAGCGGAAUUCCGAGUGUAGCGGUGAAAUGCGUAGAUAUUCGGAGGAACACCAGUGGCGAAGGCGGCUUGCUGGGCUCUAACUGACGCUGAGGCCCGAAAGCGUGGGGAGCAAACAGGAUUAGAUACCCGGGUAGUCCCUGAG